rnacentral:rRNA from 1 species
UUCAUUUAAAGAGUGCGUAACAGCUCACUAGUCGAGCGAUCCCGCGUGGAUAAUACACGGGCAUCAAACUGUCAACCGAAGCCGUGGGGUUAGUUAAUGACUAACCGGUAGGAGAGCAUUCCUGCCAGCUUUGAAGGUCACCCGCGAGAGUGACUGGAGCGGCAUGAAAAGCAAAUGUAGGCAUAAGUAACGAUAAUGGGGGCGAGAACCCCCCACGCCGCAAGACCAAGGAUUCCCCGGCAAUGUCAAUCAGCCGGGGGUCAGCCGGCCUCUAAGGCUCACCCGAAGGGGGAUGCCGACGAGAAACGGGUUAACAUUCCCGUGCUUCUCGUCACCGUGACGCGGUGACGGGGUGAUGAAUGGACCGCGCGCUGACGGAAUAGCGCGUUGAAGGCCGUACCCGAUGACGGUGGUAGUCAAGCACGCCACCGGAGGCGAAAGUCGAUAGUACCUCGAGGCCUCGGCCGAGGGGAUAGCGUCCAGGCAAUUUACCCCCUAGAAAACCCGCUAAACUUCAAGUGACGAGGAACCGUACUGUAAACGGACACACGUGGUCGGGUAGAACAUACCAAGGCGCUCGAGUGAUUCAUGGUCAAGGAACUAGGCAAAAUAGUCCUGUAACUUCGGGAAAAAGGACGCUCUAGUGAUAGAGCCGCAGAGUAAUGGCCCAGGCGACUGUUUACCAAAAACACAUGGCUAUGCCAAAUCGAAAGAUGACGUAUAUGGCCUGACACCUGCCCGGUGCCGGAAGGUUAAGAGGAGAGCUCAUCCGCGAGGAGAAGGUUUGAAUUGAAGCCCCGGUAAACGGCGGCCGUAACUAUAACGGUCCUAAGGUAGCGAAAUUCCUUGUCGGGUAAGUUCCGACCUGCACGAAUGGUGUAACGAUCUGGGCACUGUCUCGACCAUGAGCUCGGUGAAAUUGUAGUUCCGGUGAAGAUGCCGGGUACCCGCGACGGGACGGAAAGACCCCGUGAACCUUUACUGCAGCUUCGCGUUGUUCCCGGGCACGGGACGUGUAGGAUAGGUCGGAGGCUAGGAGUCGGUUUCGCCAGGAAUCGAGGAGCCAUCGUUGAAAUACGACCCUUCUCUUGUCUGGGAUCUAACCCUUUGUAUAGGGGACACCGCGUGGUGGGUAGUUUGACUGGGGUGGUCGCCUCCAAAAGCGUAACGGAGGCUUCCAAAGGUACCCUCGGGUUGGUUGGUAAUCAACCGUAGAGUGCAAUGGCACAAGGGUGCUUGACCGGGAGACCAACAAGUCGAUCGGGUGCGAAAGCAGGGCAUAGUGAUCCGGUGAUCCCGCGUGGAAGGGUCAUCGCUCAAAGGAUAAAAGGUACUCCGGGGAUAACAGGCU